CACCUACUAGACAGUCUGCUGGGGGCUGAUGGUAAAAAGAUAAUGCAGUUUUCUUCCCUCAGUGGAUACCUGUUUCCAACCAGAACCAAAUUCCAAGACACACUCAGCAAACAGACCUGCACUCUGCUGGGUCAAUUUGAUAAGCUAAUUGGAACUGAAGUGUUACCUAUCAAUGGUGAAUCCAUGAGGGUGCUGAGAGCAGUAGAAAAACACAUAAUUUGGUGUUAAAUGGAAAAAAGUUUAAAGGCUAGUGAAGGCACUUCCUAGCUCUGGUGCUCUGAUAGGCAGCCUCUAAGAGGGCCCAAUACAAACCCCCAUAUGCCCACCACCUAGUUUCAACAAUUAUGCACACAUAGCCAGUCUUGUUUUAUCUCUGUCCCCAAUGUCCAACCCUUGCCUUCAAAGAACACAACAUCCUAGAGGGUAGAACCACACUUUAGUAACCAUGAUAGCACUUUUUUUGUUGUUGAAUUAUAGAGGUGCACACAAAGUCCUGAAGAUCUCCAAUCACAUGUAUGGGUGGUGGGGCAAGAAAUGUCUUUUGAUUUCAAUUAUUUUUAGUGUUGAUGAUUCAAUAAUUUUUAGUGUUGUCGACUUUUUUUUGGCCCAGGAUAUAAUUUAUCAUGAUGAAUUUUCCGUGGUUGCUUGAAAAAAAUUUAUACAACUGAGGCUGAAAAAGUCAGGCAUGAGACCCAGAUAAGGCAUAAUUCAAAAUAUUUAGCACACACUUCCCCCCCCCCCCCCCCCACACACACACACACAGACACCCAGUUCUAUGGAGCUCUAGGCCUCU
rnacentral:lncRNA from 1 species